UGGGGUCAGAGGCUACACGACAAACUGAAACCCCUCUUUUAACCUAGCAAACGUUUUAAAAUCUUCCAGGAAGACUUCAUAACCUUGAAUAAAUGUUAUUUGCUUUUGUCUGACCGAUCGCGACCGUUGCUUCGCCAAAUUUGCAUUGGUAAAUAUUGGUGUUGCCUUCCGCAUAUAGACAAUAUUUAUCCAACGGAGAUCAUAUGGCACCGCGCCAUGUACCGGUUUAUUGAAUUGUCGAGUAAAACUCAUCGGUCGCGUCAUUUUGUUGUCCGGUGAAUCCUGAUAUGUAUUUCUUUGCAAAAACGCCAUAGUAGAUCCUUCCCGCGAACAGCCAUGGUUAGUCUUACGCUAGGGUAGUCUGACGUAUUUUCGUCACAGUUUAGCAAGAUUAUAAAAAUUUAAAGUUUCCUCAAAUUGAAAUCGAAUCCUAAUUUUCAAAGAUUCCUGUGAUUUCCAACCAUAUUCCAGAACAGUUAACCGAAAAAAGCAGAUGACCCUUUCGUAACCGGACACAGCAGGC